AUUGAACGCUGGCGGCAGGCCUAACACAUGCAAGUCGAACGAGUGGCGGACGGGUGAGUAAUGUCUGGGAAACUGCCUGAUGGAGGGGGAUAACUACUGGAAACGGUAGCUAAUACCGCAUACCAUCGGAUGUGCCCAGAUGGGAUUAGCUAGUAGGUGGGGUAACGGCUCACCGAGGCGACGAUCCCUAGCUGGUCUGAGAGGUGGACACGCAACACGGGAACUACGAACGGGUCCAGAUUCCUACGGGAGGCAGCAGCGGGAAAUAUCGAACAAUGGGCGCAAGCCUGAUGCAGCCAUGCCGCGGGUAUGAAGAAGGCCUUCGGGUUGUAAAGUACUUUCAGCGGGGAUGCGUUACCCGCAGAAGAAGCACCGGCUAACUCCGUGCCAGCAGCCGCGUAAUUC
rnacentral:rRNA from 1 species